ensembl:lncRNA
GAAUCACUCUGUGAAAGAGCUGGUUUGAAGGAAGGGUGAGGCUGGUGAAUGGGCAGAGAACCAGGAGAGACAAACAGGCAAGAGUGGCUGGGGGAAGUAGGGCACAUGCUGCCUUUAAUCCAUUGAGCCUGACCUAGGCACUCGUUGAUGUCCCAAGGAAAUGUUCAAAGAAGAAGCUGCUUACACAGUCAUUUGCUCCAGUUCAUUGCCCCAAGCCUGGCGCCACAUGCAGCAAUGCGAAAUCAUUCCAGGUAUAAAUGUGAUGGACCAGCAGUAGCCAUCUUGGAAACAUAAAGCAAGGAGCCAACAUGCUAAGAGAGAAUCCUCAACAAUACUACUUCCUCUACAGCCCGGAUGUAACCGCAACUGUCUUUAGCGUAAUAUACCCAGGCAUUAUGGGACUUUUCCCUGGGCCUCCAGAGAACGGAGGACUGGAACUCGGCCCCACCAGAAAUCAGACCAGACCAGAACCAGAAUUCGAGUUCUCUGCCAAGAGGAGGUGACCAGUCUCCAAUCCUCAGCUCAGGCUGAGGGCCCUUUGACCAGAUUCCUGCAUCCAGGACAGGGGGACUAGAAAAACAGGUCUGGCACAAAGAAGGUCCUUAAUAAUCAUUCAUUAAAGUUUUAUUUUGAAU